rnacentral:lncRNA from 1 species
ACUGUGGCAGGAGCAGUGGCGCUGAGCGUGCCCACGGGCCGCGGCUUGGGUCUCUCUCAUUUUCCAGGUGGUAUGGCCGUGGACAAUGGCAGUGGCGCCUGGCUGGCCCAAGAGCCCAGUCCAGCUACGCCUGCCUGAUUCCAGGCGUCACCACCAACCCGGGGGCCGCGAGGCUGGGAUCAGGCACCCCGGAGCCGCUUGCCUGUGGCCGGGCUGCUCUCCCCCUCUACGCCCAAGCACCACCAUCGCCGCGCUGCGCUUUCCGCCGACCUCCCAGAGCGUCCCGAUGUCGCCGGCGGCCAGACCAUGCGCGAGACAGCCCAGGCGCCAGAGACCUCCAUCCCCUGCCAGGGCUCUGGACUCUCCAGGCGGCCACCCUCUCGCUGGGACUCCAGGCCUUCCCCAGGCUCUUGAGCUCCCGAGCUUCCAACACCUGGGGCCCGCUUAGGACGGGGUGUGCUCCGAGGCGUCAGGGCCCAGGGCCCACGGUCCUGGGGUCCCCUCCGGUCCUCCGCCUUGCCGCGGAAAAAUUAUUUUGGAUUCCUCACCGCCCCUCCUGCAAGGCCCCCUCUUGCCCCACACACCCAGAGCCGCCAGGGCUGCCCAGGGGCGAACAGCCGGCCCAGCCCCACAGGCCCUUUUUCUCACAAUGCUCACACCAUCGUCGCUUGUUCUGAGGAGGACCCGCCAUGGCCAAAGGGGCAAGAAGGCUCUGCUUUGCCCCGCCCUGGCACUAGAGCCCCGGCAGCCUCAUCCCGGGAAAGAGGGGCUGACGGACACCCAGACACACCCCACCACUACCACGAGCAAACCCACCCUGACACACCCACGGAUACACACGGGUGCAUGCGCGCAGACACACACACACACCACACCCGGGCACACACACACGGACACACAAAGACACAGACACAGAUAGCUCAAAGGGAGACCUCCCCUCAUAUUGUCUUAUGCCCAAUUUCUGCCUCCAAAGAAAGAAGAAGUAAAAUCUAAAAGGCAGAAAUGAAAUCCACAGGCAGACAGCCCCGCGCCACACCCUGGGCCUGGUAGUUAAAGAUCGAUCCCUGACCUACUCGGUUAUGUUAUCUAUAGAUUACAGACAUUGUAUAGAAAAGCACUGUGAAAAUCCCUGUCCUGUUUUGUUCUGAUCUAAUUACCUGUGCAUGCAGCCCCCAGUCACGUACCCUCUGCUUCCUCAAUCCAUCAAGACCCUCUCACGCGGACCCCCUUAGAGUUGUAAGCCCUUAAGAGGGACAGGAAUUGCUCACUCGGAGAGCUUGGUUUUUGGAGACGUGAGUCUGCGGAUGCUCCCAGCUGAAUAAAGCCCUUCCUUCUACAACUCGGUGUCUGAGGGGUUCUGUCUGCAGCUCCUCCUGCUGCAGAAGGAGAGCAAGGGAGAGAGGGAUGGAGAAAUAGAACCAGAGGGAGAGAGAGAGACAGCGAUAGAGAGAGAGAGAGAGAGACAGAAAAGGGGGGAGGAGAGAGAGAGGGGGGAAGAGAGAGCACCACAGUAGAGCGCGAGGUGGAGGGGGAAGUAGAGAAAGGGAGAGGGUGAGGGAGUUGUGGAGCGACAGCGACAGAGCCUUGGAGAGGGAGGCUCUGCUCAGGUAGACAGGGCACCUUUCAGCAGGCCGGGGUGUGGUGGAGGGUUCUUGGGCCGGGCUAGAACAGGGGGUCAGGGCCCCCCACCCAGGAAAACCAAUGGAGCCCUGAGACUUGUUUUUUUCCUUGGAUUGGUUGGUUGCUUUGGGGGUGCGUUUCAUAAGGUCCUUCCUUUGUUUGCUUCUUUCUGUCUCCUUGAUGCGGUGGGCCCCGAGAUUUGUAGAGUGUGCUCGUGUGUCUGGCAGGAGCCGUGGCGCCGAGCCUGUCCACGGGGCGAGGCCUGGGUCUCUCUCCUGUCCUCCGGACUGGAGUUUACACGAAGUCGGUGGCAUUGGGAAACAGGGUGCACAGGGACGGAUUUCCUCGUGGCUGGCGAAGAAAAUGUCCUUCCUCUGGGGAAAGCAGCCCUCGGGUUCUGGAGCGGAGGUCUUGGCUGGGGUCUGUGGCACCCGCUGCCCCUGCUCGCCCCUCCCACCGGCUUGGACGGUUGCAGUGACGCUGAAUGAAUGAAUACAAUUGCCUGGGAGUCCGGGGAGCGUGAAGAGACCCGGGACCUCAGGGAACCCGCGCCUGCACCCUCGGGGUCGGUCCCGUCCCGCCCGGGUUGGGUGGGGCUGCCGCGAGUCGGAAGAGGUGGGAUGCUGCUGCCUGGCGGUGCUGCAGUGGCGGAUCUUCAGGAGGAGGUCCUGGGCUUCGGCUGGGGCACGGGGGCGGUCAACGGGGAGCAGAGGCGGGGCGCAGUUGGGAAGCACGGAGACAAAAGGGGGAAAGAAGGAGGGAGCGGGAAGCCAAAAGCCUACGGUACCGCUAUUACCAGGCGGAAUCCCAUCCAAGUACUAACCAGUCCCGACCCUGCUUAGCUUCAACAGAUCAGAGGCGAGCCGGGCGCGUUCAGGGUGGUGUGGCCUAGACGCCAGCAGCGGCGCCUGGCUGCCCCAAGAGCCCGGCCCAGCCAAGCCCGCAUGACUCCAGGCGUCAUCGCCACCCCGGGGCCGCGGGUCUCGGAUCCAGGACCCCCAGAGGCGCUCGCCCGUGCCCCCGGGCAGCUGUCUCCCUCUACACCCGAGGACCGCCGGCCUCCCAGAGAGUCCCGCCGUCUCCGGCGGCCAGGCCUGGCUCAGGACCAAUGUGGCACCGCCCUGCUGUUGUUGGGGGGCGCCGCCGGAGGCCUCUGUCCCCUGCGCAGGCUUCCGGCUCUAGGGGCGGCCUCCUUUCCGCCCACGCUCCAGUCCUUCCGGGAGCUCCGGAGCUCCGGGGCUUCCACCACAUCUGCCGGCUCAGGACGGGUCGUGCUCAUCCCUUAACUUUUUAACUUUUUGUUGUUUCUAUUUAUAUUUUAUUGUGCUAUGUCUUGAAAUGUUGUUGUAGCUAUUACUUUUGAUUGGAUAUUACUUAGUAUUCCUACUUUAAAUAAGAGUAGUUUGCACACCACACAGCUAUAGUGUUAUAAUAUUCUGUUUUGUUUUGUAUCCUAUUAGCAGUGAGGAUUUUUUUUUACCUUUAGGUGAUCAUUUAUUACUCAUUAAUGUCCUUUUCUUCCUGAUUGAAGUACUCCCUUUAGCAUUCCUUUAGGACAGGAUUUGUCCCCAGUGCCUUAUUUAGUUCACUUGGUGAGGUCAUGUUUUCCUGGAUGGUGUUGAUGCUAGUAGAUGUUCUUCAGUGUCUGGACAUUAAAAUCUUGGGCAUGCAGCACCAUAUGAGAAGUUUAAAAAAUAAAAUUUAAAGAGAGAAAAGGCUUUGGUAUCAGGAUGAUUCUGGCCUCAUAGAACAAGAUGGGGAAGAGUCCCUCCUCCUCUAUUUCUUGAAAUAGUUUCAGUAGGACUGGUACUGGCUCUUCUUUGUACAUCUGUUAAAAUUUGUUAAUCUAUCAGGUCCUGGGCUUUUUGGGGGUUGGUAGGCUAUUUAUUACGGAUUCAAUUUUUGGAGCUCAUAAUUGGUCUGCUCAGAGACUGAAUUUCUUCCUGGUUCAGUCUUGAGAGAGUAUAUGUGUCCAGGAAUUUAUUAAUCUCUUCUAGGGUUUCUAGUUUGUGUGUAUAGAGGUGCUCGUAGUAGUUACUGGUUGUUAUUUUUUUUUCUCUGGGGUCAGUGGUAACAUUCCCUUCAUCAUUUCUAAUUUUCUUUAUUUGAAUCUUCUCUCAUCUUCUUUAUUAAUCUAGCUAGUGCCCUAUCUUAGUAAUUUUUUCAAAAAACCUUGAUUAAGUGAUCUUUUGAACAGUUUUUCAUGUCUCAAUUUCUUUCAAUUCAGCUCUGAUUUUAGUUAUUUCUUGUCUUCUAUAAGCUUUGUGGUUGAGUUCUCCUUGCUUCUCUAAUUCUUUCAGUUGUGAUGUUAGGUUGUUAAUUUGAGAUAUUUCUAAUUUUUUGAUAUGGGCAUUACUUCUUAUGCCCUACUCUAAAUUUUGUUCUUCUAGAAAACUCAGAACUAUGCUUUCUAAACCAAUUCAAACUUUCUCAGUGAAUCAACCUGGACUCCCUGAGGCCAAGUUAGCAAUUUUCCAUUACACUUGGUUCUCUUUCUCUGUAAGAAUAUCUAAUGCAACAAUUCAAGUGUUUCUUUCCCUCCUGGUAAUGCGGGGAACUCCUUUUGGCUGAGACCAAGACUUAAAACCUUGUUCUUUCAACAUUAAUGAAGAUCUAUUUAGAAAGCCUCCAUUUUUGCAGAAAAGAUAUAUAAACACCAAUGAAAAUCAAUAUGAAAUUAUAUGACAUACAAUUAUAUUGUGGAAAGACUGAAUAAAUAAGUGAACUAAGCUCUAAGAAAAAAAGAUGAUGAUAUAAAAUGAUAUAGAAGUAAAAACCUGGGCUGGUAUAGCAUAAUUAAUGUAUCAGUAAAGUAUGUACAUUGUAGAAGUGGCAGGAAGACAGCAUAGAGAGUGAGACCUGACCAAAAGCUUUAAGGAAAGUUCUAUACCCUUAAACGAGAUUAAAGUGGACUCAGGAAAACAUGGGCCACAUGAGGGGAAGGACACAUGUUCCAGAUGAGCCAAAGCUCAGAGCAUCUCUACCUUCUCCAGGAGGAAAGGGGAGGCAAAGCAGCAGGCAGAAGACAGCACGGCCAGGUCAGCACAGGGCACCCAGGCCAAGCCAGGUGGGCUCCAUCAUACAGGUAGUGAGGAGUCACUGCCAGGUGGGCUUUAUUCAUUAGUUUGUUUUGUUUCUUUUAGUAACGAAGACACAUGAUCAAAGUUGACCUUUGUAAGUGUUGCUGCAGCUGAACAAAAAGAUGGAUAAGACCAGUGUUUUAAAAAUUAUGUUGUAUAGAGCACUAGCCUCAGUGAGAUAUUAGUAGAACACACAGGCACACACACACACACACACACUCACACUAAGCCCAGAUUAUUCUGGCAAAUGCUGGGUUAAGCAAACUAAAAGAAACAUCUUUAGUGCUGGACUUCUCAGAACCUGGAAUGUCGCUAUAUGACUCAUAAAACAGCAAGGUUAAGACAGAACAUGUCAUUUUUUCCCAGAAAUGCUGAAACACUUUCCUUCCCUUGGCUUCAGUGUCACCUUCUUUCUCCUGGUUCUCCAUCAACCUCUUUGGCUGAUCCUUCUUGAUUUCCUUCUUGACAAUCUGCUGCUGCUCAGCCAUUCUCUUUUCAUUCCCCAUGGAUUUCUCAAGUGCGUUUCUAUUCCUGCAUUUUAAACUUUCCUUGUUUUUCCUGACACCUCUCCUUGUCUGACUCACCCCUGUUCUAAGGCAGGUGUUCCAUCUGUGUGCGCUUUUGGCACCCUGGGAUGCUCCCAGCAUGUUCCCUGCCACACUCCAUCAGGUUUUCUCCGCAGACUCUGUGAGGGCAGCAGCCUUGUCUCCACCAUUCCUUCAAUGCUCAGCACAUAACACAGAAGCUGACUCCAUAACAUUUAGUUGGCCAACUGAGACUAAAUAUAUGUUCCUCUAGAUCUUAAAAAGUUACAGAAACAUAGCACAAUAGACAAAAUAUUCUCUUUAGUCAGGAGUUCUCUAUAUAUGUACAACAGUUUGAAGUCAUUAUUAAAGCAAAGUGAAAGAGAAACUGUCACAGAAUUCCCCAAGAUAAAUUAUUUUGCUUUAGUCUUCAUCAUGUGAGAUAAUCAAGACCAUGUGUUAUUGUAAAUAUUUCUAGCUUACAACACAACGACCUGAUUUUUAUUGUGUGAAAUAACCGCAAUAUAAAUCAGUUAAUUAAAAAUUGCAUAAAUAAUCCUUUCAAAUAAAAUUCUGCCUAAAUUUUACAUUACUCAUAUGUUCAAAUGAUAAUGAGCUCAUAGGCUUUUCCAAUACCUCAGUCAAAACACUGUACUGAUUCCAGCUGUGGGAAUAGUAUCUGAAAGUUAUUUUACAGAUGGGGAACAGGUACUUACCUGACAUUGGCCUUUACACUACUGUGCCCUUUUAGGUCAGGAAAAAGCUGUUCCCUUAAAAUCCUAAAAUCUCUUCUGUCAGGUCUGAAGGGUGGGUGGGAAACACAGUUUUACAAAUUUUAGCCACAGAUGUUUUAUUCCUUGCUUAAAGCAGUGACUAGAUAAAGGCCACUAGAAGAGUCUCCAAUGUUUCUUUAGAAGCGUGUGCCUGAGAACAUCUUCCAGAAACACUCCCUUGUCUCUGCCCAAAAUCACCUUAGGUAGGAAAAUCAAAACUCAGCAGGCUGAGGGAUCCAAGGGGAUCACUGAGCUCUGAGUCUUAUGAGAGAAGAGAGAGAGGUCUAAGACUUUUUGUGUAUAAAUUUAUGGGUUCCAAGUGUAAUUUUGCUGUAAGCAUGGAUGGCAUAGUGGUGAAGUCAGGGCUUUUAGGUAUCCAUCACCAGAAUAAUGCACAUUGUACCCAUUAAGUAAUUUCUCACUGUUCACCCCUUCCAUCCCCUCACCCUGCUGAGUCUCCAUUAUCAUUCCACUCUCUACGUCAAUAUCUACACAUCUUUUAGCACCCGCUUAUGAGUGAUACAAUAUGAUGUUUACUCUGUGUCUGGCUUGCUUCACUUACAACAAUGGCCUCCAGUUCCAUCCAUGUGUCUGCAAAAGUUAUAAUUCUAUUGUUUUUUAUGCCUGAAUGGUAUUUCAUUGUGUAUAUUUUCUACAUUUUCUUUCUCCAAUCAUUUGUUGAUGGGUAUUUAGUUUCAUUUUAUGUCUGUGCUACUGUGAAUAGUGUUGCAACAAAUACACAAGUACAGUUAUCUUUCUGAUACAUUGAUUUCUUUUCCUUUGCAUAAAUACUCAGUGGUGGGAUUGCUGAAUCAGACAGAGCCAAUAGAUGAUCAGUAAUGGUGGCCAAUCAUCAGCUAGAAAGAAAGUGCUUAGCAGGGCUUGAAAACACCAAAACUCUGAGACCACUGACCUUCAAAAACUUCAACAGCCCUGAGUGAAAAGUCCAAACACAUUUAUCUACCAUUCGAAGACGCUUUAUUGUCUGUCCUCUGCACAUCUCAGUAGUCUCUUUUUACCACACUGUCUAUAUACUGCAUGAGCCAUUUAUAUGAAACUAUCUGACACUCCAAGGCAUCUUGUACUAUAUAUUCAACUAUGUAUCCCUAGUACCUAGCACAGUCCUGGCAUAUAGUUUGCUACUAAACUUUUACAGAAUGAAGGAAUUAUCUUGUAUCCAGGUUCCAAGUUUUAAGGUGAUUCUUCAGUAAAAAAAAGUAUUACAGUUCACAAAUAAUCUACUUCCCUUUUUACAAAUGGGAUCAAUUUUAAUCUUAUCUCCUAAUAACAUUACUUUCAUUUACUCUGAUCUAAAUAUACUGUCCUAAGAGAGCAAUAAGAAAGAGAGUUGAAGCUGGAGUUUGAAGAAUUGUACAUGGUCCUGUGAUACCCUACCUUGUUUUAACCUGAGUGACUCUCUCCUAGCGGAGAGAGAGCCGGACAGACUCCAUUUUAGUUUCUUCACGUGCAGCCCCCUUUACCUUCCACCCUUAAUUGCAUAACUAGUGUAAACUGACUCAAAGCAGGUCCAGGAAUGCACUUAGUGAUAAGAUAUUGAGGCAAGCUGCACCAGCUGCUCCUGGGUACGCACUCGGUGAAUGUCACGCAAAACCCCUGCAUUUCUCUCUUUGUGAUAGUUUAAGCCCCUGCACCUGGAACUGUUUAUUUGUUUUGUAACUGCUAUUGUAACCAAUUAAUAUUUUAACUAUUUGCCAGCUCUGCUUCUGUAAAACUUGUUUCAGCUAAACUCCCCCCUCCCCUAUUUAGACCACGGUAUAAAAACAAAACCAGCCCCUUCCUCGGGGCCAAGAGAAUUUUGAGCAUUACAUGCCUCUCGGUUACCGGCUAAUAAAGGACUCCUUAAUUUGUCUCAAAGUGUGGCAUUCCUCUAUAACUCGCUUGGUUACAACAGUCCACACUGUGGCCUGAGGUGCAUUGCCCACCUGAGCUUCAUCUGUUAUGUAUGUCAGGGAAUAUAAGCAGGGUGAGAGUGGCCUCAUCAGAGGACCCCAGAUCUCUGGCUUACCCAUCUGGCAAGUGCACCUCUGUGAGCAAAGACUUCAGAGCCAGGUGACAAGAAUGGCCCAAGCAGUCCACCAGGAAAACCUGGGCCCAGUGUACGUCAAUGCAGAGCAUCAAGCAUGGUGUAACAGGUGCACAGUUGCCUACUCCUGUUCAGAGAUGACUGCAUCCCACAUACCGUAAAAUGAGGAAAUGCAUAGAAGCAGAUGUAACUGAAGAAGACAGCAGAAGCAACAAGGAGGGACAACCAGGACCUAGGAGGGCACCAUGCCAGAGACGCCUGGACCCCAUGCUAGGCUCAGUGCCUGUUAUACUCUUGGGAGCCAGCACUUUCCCUCUCCAUCACAUGGCAUACUUGCCAUUAUUUGUUGUGUAAAAUAUUGUCCUUAGUUUUCACCUUUCCUAGGAGACACAGGCAGAGCCUGUGACACUACAGCUUCUGGCACACAGUAGGUAGGUGCAUCACAAACAUCUGCUGAGUUCACACACUCUUGCCUUCUCAAAACUUCUUGUCAAGUCUUCAGUGAAAAGGAAUUGCUGAUUGAGCAAGAAUUAAACUUCUAGAGACUCCUGGAUCCACUGAAGUUUGAGACAAGCUCUAGUCAGGAAGUGUUAGAGAGUUCUAAACAGGAAAUAUUCCAACACAUCAUCUAAGCAUGAAGCAGGAGACACCCAUAAUUGAGUUUGCUGCCACCAACCCCAACAGCAAGAAUUCCAGUCCUGCUGCUGCAAAUUCUCUUUUGGAGUCUUUCUUGCAGUUGCGGUUGGUUGGCUGCUGCUGAAGUCACCUGAAAGCUCAAUUAGGCUAAAGAGUCUAAACGGGUCACUUACAUGGCUGGCAGUGCAUAUUGGCUGCUGAGUGUGAUGCCUAUCUGACCUCUCCAUGUUACCUGGAGUGCUCACAACGUGGUAGUUUGUCCCAAGACACACAGGCAAAUACUACAAAGCUUCUUAGGGCCUAGCCUUGGAGGUCCUAGAAUACGACUUCUGCUGCAUCCUAUUGGAAAAGCAAGUCAUUGUGACCAGCACAGAUUCAAGAAAUGGGAGAUUCGACUCUACCUGUCAAUGUAAACAGCAGCAUGUGCAUGCAGGGAGGAAAGAAAUUGAGGGCAUCAUCUUGAAGACUAUCAUAUCACACCAUUAUUCCAACUAGUGAACAUUAUGUUUUAGAUGGGUAGUACUAGCUACUCAUCUGUCCCCCAGAAACCCAAGCUAAGCAUGGACAUAUUGAAGAGAAUGUCAACACCAUUAAAAAAACUCUAGAAAAAUCACAUGUGAUGACUGAGGUUAAUUCAGUCUGUCAACUACAUCAAUAUAAUUGCCUUCUUGUAACCCUAAGUAUGGUGAAGCAGAAUUGAAUUCUACAAAAGUCUUUCAUCUGUUUUCCUAUGGAAUAAUUAACAAACCCAAUAAAUGUAUAAAUAGCAUGAAGUCCGACUUAUUUUAGAUUUUUACCUCAUAAUUUCAAAGCUUAUAGAAAUCCAGAGAACUAAUCAUCAUAAUCCAUAAUGCCUGGACCAGAAGUCCUUGUUCUAAGAGUAUCUUGUGGCAUGCUAAAAAUGUAUUACUAACUAGGAAAUUUAAAACUUUUUUGUUAGUGGUUUUAAGAGAGCUGACUAGCUCAUCACCACAAUUCACACAGAUUAAGAAAGGAGGUUACUCUGUGGAGUGGAUUCAUAGUGAUCAGAAAAAAAAAAUCACAAAAGAGGAAAGGAGAUAGGGAAGGGGAAAGAUACUGUCAAUCUCUACAAUUAAAGUGAUUUUUCGAAUGGUUUGAUUUUGUAUUUGCAAAGGAAAGGCAGCUUAAUGUGAUAGAAUAAGAAUCCCACUUCUGUAUCUUUUUUUUUUUUUUUUUUUUUUUGAGACGGAGUCUCGCUCUGUCGCCCAGGCUGGAGUGCAGUGGUGCAAUCUUGGCUCACUGCAAGCUCUGCCUCCCGGGUAGAUGCCAUUCUCCUGCCUCAGCCUCCCGAGUAGCUGGGACUACAGGCGCCCACCACCACGCCCGGCUAAUUUUUUGUAUUUUUUGUAGAGACAGGGUUUCACCGUGUUAGCCAGGAUGGUCUCGAUCUCCUGACCCUGUGAUCCCCCCACCCUGGCCUCCCAAAGUGCUGGGAUUACAGGCGUGAGCCACUGUGCCUGGCUCGUCUUCUUUUGAGAAGUGUCUGCUUAUGUCCCUUGUCAAUGUUUUAAUGGGGUUGUUUUCCUAAUGUCCAACAUCACUAAUCAUCAGAGAAAUGCAAGUCAAUGAGAGAUACCAUCUCAUAUUAGUCAGAAUGGCUACUAUUAAAAAGUAAAAAAAUGACAAAUUCUGGUUAGACUUCAGAGAAAAUGAAAUGCUUAUACACUGUUGGUGAGAAUGUAAAUUAGUUCAGCCACUGUGAAAAGCAGUUUGGAGAUUUUUCAAAGAAUUUAAAACAGAAGUGCCAUUCAACCAGCAAUUCCAUUACUGAGUAUAUAUCCAAAAGAAAAUUAAGAAUUCCACAAAAAAGAAACCCCACAUGCACUUGUAUAUGAG